GAUCAAAGUGUAGUAUCUGUUCUUAUCAGCUUAAUAUCUGAUACGAUCCUCACUGAGGAUCUACGAUAUUAAACUGAUUUUUGGAACUGGGGGAAGAUGCAGGAGCUUGCUCCGACUUCCCCACGGGUUGGCC
rnacentral:snRNA from 1 species